UUGCCUUCAGAUCCAGAUAGAGAAUUCUGAACUCCUUCUCCAACACCAAGCCUGCCUGUGUGCUGCCUUGCUUCCCAUCAUGAAGACAGUGGACUAAACCUCUGAACUAAAUGAACAUCAAGAACCAUGCUGCAAAAGAAGCCAACAUCGCGCCAGAGUGACAGUUUCUGGUUCUUUGAAACUGUAACGAUGUGACCUAGCAGCUAAAAGCAGACUGCUGAUAGCCUGGGAGUGGGUGGCCAUCCCCAGGAAGAAGAAGAAAAAGAGAAGAAAGUACAGAAGGAUGUGAGGACUCUGCAUUAUUUCUGAGGACCCAGCGAAUAAGAACUGACCAAACUUUGCCCUUUAAAUAGGCAACAUUCAAUGUGGUAGCCAUGUCUUGAUUAAAAAGGCCAAACACUUUGAAGAGGCA